rnacentral:rRNA from 1 species
GAGUCGUACGCUCUCGGUAAGAGAGCGUGGCGGACGGCUGAGUAACACGUGGUCAACCUAACCUCGGGACUUGGAUACCUCCGGGAAACUGGAGCUAAUCCAAGAUAGGCAAAGGAAUCUGGAACGAUCCUUUGCUUAAAAGCCUCUAGGCUAAUACUGUCUAGAGGUGCCCGAGGAUGGGACUGCGGCCCAUCAGGCUGUUGGUGGGGUAAUGGCCCACCAAACCGAUAACGGGUAGGGGCCGUGGGAGCGGGAGCCCCCAGUUGGGCACUGAGACAAUGGCCCAGGCCCUACGGGGCGCACCAGGCGCGAAACGUCCCCAAUGCGGGAAACCGUGAGGGCGCUAUCCCCAGUGCCUCCGAUAGGAGGCUUUUCCCCACUUUAGAACGGUGGGGGAAUAAGCGGGGGGCAUGGCUGGUGUCAGCCGCCGCGGUAAUACCAGCCCCGCGAGUGAUCUGGACGUUUAUUGGGCUUGAAGCGCCCGUAGCCGGCCCAUAAAGUCACUGUUUAAAGACUCGGGCUCAACCCGGGAAAGGGCAGUGAUACUUAUGGGCUAGGGGGCGGGAAAGGUCGGAGGUACUCCCGGAGCAGGGGCGAAAUCCGUAGAUCCCGGGAGGACCACCAGUGGCGAAAGCGUCCGGCUAGAACGCGCCCGACGGUGAGGGGCGAAAGCCGGGGCA